rnacentral:rRNA from 1 species
GCUGGCGGCGCGCCUAAUACAUGCAAGUCGAGCGAGAAAUCCGGGGCUUGCCCCGGGUGGACAGCGGCGAACGGGUGAGGAACACGUGAGAAACCUGCCCCGAAGACCGGGAUAACACCGGGAAACCGGUGCUAAUACCGGAUGUCCUCACCGGAUCGCAUGAUCCGGUGAGGAAAUGGAUUCCGCUUCGGGAUGGUCUCGCGGCCUAUCAGCUUGUUGGUGGGGUAACGGCCUACCAAGGCUUCGACGGGUAGCUGGUCUGAGAGGAUGUCCAGCCACACUGGGACUGAGACACGGCCCAGACUCCUACGGGAGGCAGCAGUAGGGAAUCUUGCGCAAUGGGCGAAAGCCUGACGCAGCGACGCCGCGUGCGGGAUGAAGGCCUUCGGGUUGUAAACCGCUUUCAGCAGG